rnacentral:lncRNA from 1 species
GCAUCAGAGCCCUUCUAAAGGCUGGUAUCCGUCUGCUUCAUGGAAGAAGAAGCCAUGAUAUCUAAAUGGAAAUUUAAGGUGACUUCCACUGUCUCAGGAAAUCUUCUUAAUCACAGUCUUAUUGUGCUAGCCAAAAUCCAUCAGUGUGCUUCAUGGAUUCAGGGCUGGAGAGGUAGGAAGAAAAAUUUAGCAGCUCAGAAUAAUAGAUCAGUAUUGUGCAGACUUCCUAUUUCCCUGACCAACGAGCCAGAGAUUUUGUGAACCAGCUUUUGGGAAAGACAUUGAGUAAUCCAUUCAGUAACUGACCUGUUGUCUGAAAUUGUGAGUGUGAGGUUUUUUCCAUAGCUUCUUAUUUUAAGAUGGCCAAGAAAAAUAAAAAAUUUAUUUAACUUUUUGAGGUUAUCCUC